GAUCGUGUUUCUGGCGGGAUUUUUGAAUUUGGAAAGACUGCAGUAAUAUCGGUUAGUUGGCGUCUCAGUGAGGAUCGAUCCGAGUGCACAGGACCGGUCUGGGAUUAACAUCCACGGAGCGGUAACUUUAUAUUCACCAACCAAUAUUCUGCAUUUCUACGCUUUUAUUGUGAACCUUAGAAAUAAGUUUCACCACUUUUUAUUGUAAGAGUUCCUCUUAUGGGGGGAUUACCGUAUGGGAAAUAAAAUGUUGUAACUGUAUCACGCUAUGUCAGUAUCUUUUUUAUUAAAGGUUGGAUACAUAUAGAGACAAAGUCUUUCUACAUCAAUUUCUGUUACAACUAUCAAAUCCCUGCGGACAUUUGAAAACACCCCACUAAGACUGCAACUGGAACUCUUUAUUUAAUUUAAUAUAUUUUCGUGGUUGACCCCUAUACAAAAAAUAGGGGUAUAUUACCUAAGCGCUGAUACUGUUUUUAUUUCAUUUUAUGUUGUGUAUGAUGUUUUAAAACUUGGGAAGGUUUUUAGUGUAUCGGGCAGCUUUGUAUAUCAACUUUUUAUUGUG